rnacentral:tRNA from 1 species
GGCCCAAUGAAUGAGACUCAGAAGCGGCCCAAACCACCCCAAACAACAACAACAACAACAAUAACAACAACACACCCAGACCCAUCUAUCAAAUCCACCCAACAUCUCCUUAUUCCCCCUUCUAACCACUCUCCAAAACCUCCUCCCAAGUCUUCUUACCCUACUAGCCCAGUUACCCUACCGAGUCAAUUUCUCCAUAUAAGCGUCCUGCAGCCCAAAAUUUCUUCCUCAACUUUCAUGUCCUGACGGGGCGUCGCAGAGUCACCAAUUGGCUCUGUUUUGGAUACCUCGGGCCUCAGUGUCUUGUUUGGGACUAGAGCAAUAUCUAGUUUGUAUCUCCGGCACGGAAUUUGCAUGAAGUGAUCGGUCAUAAAAAUUAGGACAUUCUACUGUUCAAUACAGUCUCAAGAUGUUGACCCUACUUGUAGGUGUCUCAUUUAUUAGUGUGUCACGAUGGGUCUAGACUAAGUUCCUCCGAGUAUGUCAAAGGCUUCGAAGAGCACGUCAAAAAAUCUUGUGCAGAACUGCUUGCAAAUAUAAAAAGAUACAUGCCUUCGACCAGAUUUGAACUGAUGAUCUCAGCAUUACUAGUGCUGCGCCUUACCACUUGGCCACGAAGGCAGGUUUAUGCCUAUACAGGCAAAGUGGACUUCCAAAACUGAAUUCAGAUGAUUAAUCCGGUCAAGAGAUGGAACAGAAAUAAAACGUGAACAAGCGAACACGAAUGUCAUGCGCUCUUCUGAACAACCGAUGUCGAAUCCGAAUCCGAUUUGCGGGUAUAACAUUGCCUUUAGCCUCAAGUAGAUGAAAU